AGUCGAACGAGAGAUGAGGAGCUUGCUCUUCAAAUCGAGUGGCGAACGGGUGAGUAACGCGUGAGGAACCUGCCUCAAAGAGGGGGACAACAGUUGGAAACGACUGCUAAUACCGCAUAAGCCCACAGCUCGGCAUCGAGCAGAGGGAAAAGGAGUAAUCCGCUUUGAGAUGGCCUCGCGUCCGAUUAGCUAGUUGGUGAGGUAAUGGCCCACCAAGGCGACGAUCGGUAGCCGGACUGAGAGGUUGAACGGCCACAUUGGGACUGAGACACGGCCCAGACUCCUAUGGGAGGCAGCAGUGGGGAAUAUUGCACAAUGGGGGAAACCCUGAUGCAGCGACGCCGCGUGGAGGAAGAAGGUCUUCGGAUUGUAAACUCCUGUUGUUGAGGAAGAUAAUGACGGUACUCAACAAGGAAGUGACGGCUAACUACGUGCCAGCAGCCGCGGUAAAACGUAGGUCACAAGCGUUGUCCGGAAUUACUGGGUGUAAAGGGAGCGCAGGCGGGAGAACAAGUUGGAAGUGAAAUCCAUGGGCUCAACCCAUGAACUGCUUUCAAAACUGUUUUUCUUGAGUAGUGCAGAGGUAGGCGGAAUUCCCGGUGUAGCGGUGGAAUGCGUAGAUAUCGGGAGGAACACCAGUGGCGAAGGCGGCCUACUGGGCACCAACUGACGCUGAGGCUCGAAAGUGUGGGUAGCAAACAGGAUUAGAUACCCUGGUAGUCCACACCGUAAACGAUGAUUACUAGGUGUUGGAGGAUUGACCCCUUCAGUGCCGCAGUUAACACAAUAAGUAAUCCACCUGGGGAGUACGACCGCAAGGUUGAAACUCAAAGG
rnacentral:rRNA from 1 species